GACCUGGUGGUGCAGUGGGAGCACAUUCCAUCAUUACGUGCUUCUGAAAAACAAUCAGAUGAAAGGUCGAGGUUGGGAAGACGUGGGUUCAAAUCCCACUCGGGCCA